rnacentral:rRNA from 1 species
AUUGAACGCUGGCGGUAUGCUUAACACAUGCAAGUCGAACGAUGAGAAAGAGCUUGCUCUUUCGAUUAGUGGCGGACGGGUGCGUAACGCGUAGGAAUCUACCUAUUAGUGGGGGACAACUUAGGGAAACUUAAGCUAAUACCGCAUACGCCAUACGGUGGAAAGAAGGGGAUCGCAAGACAUUUUGCUAAUAGAUGAGCAGGCGUAGGAUUAGCUAGUUGGUGGGGUAAAAGCUCACCAAGGCGACGAUCCUUAACUGGUUUGAGAGAAUGAUCAGUCACCCUGGAACUGAGACACGGUCCAGACUCCUACGGGAGGCAGCAGUGGGGAAUAUUGGACAAUGGGCGAAAGCCUGAUCCAGCAAUACCGCGUGUGUGAAGAAGGCCUUAGGGUUGUAAAGCACUUUCAAUUGGAAGGAAAACCUCGAAGCUAAUACCUUCGAGUUUGACAUUACCUUUAGAAGAAGCACCGGCUAACUCCGUGCCAGCCGCCGCCGUAACAC